CAAUCAAGGGAUGAGAGAAACUGCAACAAUAUGAUUGGCUACAUCCAAUGAUUUUUUUUUGGUAUUCAAGUCUCUGAUGAUC